rnacentral:tRNA from 2 species
UCUAAUAUGGCAGAUUAGUGCAAUGAAUUUAAGAUUCAUAUAUAAAAUANNUUUUUUUUAUUGGAA